UUAGAUGGAAGAUGAGCUCGUCAGUCAUAUCUCUCGGAGGUCGAUUGAUAUACCUAAAGCUAAUUAUCGGGAUGACCUGUCUAUUGAUGAGUGGAAGCUGGUUGUGAAACUGAAAAACCUCUUCAAGAUACAAUAAAAUUAGUUUUGAACUUUCGACUUAUUGGUGAAGAAGUUCAUCAUUUCAGAUAUGAUCAAGGGCUAUCGGAACUGCGCCUGUGUAUUGUGAAGAGACUGAGGUUCUUUUUGGGCGGGAAUGAGUUGUGUCUUGAACAAGAUAGAUUGGAAGUGUGACAGGUAUUUAUGAAGGGAUAGUAUAUGGUAAAAUUCAUACCCAAUUUUGUUUCCCUUUCUUUACAAUCACAACAAAGUCAACCUUCCUUGCUAUUUGUUUUUUUCUUUUUUUGUGGGUAUUUUGUUAAGUUUUAUUGCUGUGAUCAUAAACAAGGUUCUUUGUAUGAAAGCAAUGCAGUAGUACAAAGAUGAGAGUAAUAUGAUAUAGCUGUCAGAAGAUGGCUUAACAUCUGUGUCUUCUAAGCACUUUAACGAUUCUUUUCUAUACGUUAAGCAAUCAUUGAAUUCUUCAUUU